rnacentral:lncRNA from 1 species
GGGGCAGUCUGUAUACUUGUUUUAUAAAUAUCAUGAAGUGUGCAGAUCUUGAACAAAUGUGCCGCCUAAAAUCGAGUUGCCCUUUCCCCUUCCCUCGUUCACUAAUUUCACCGGCGUUUGGCCGGUGUCGGCACAACUCAGGCCGUUUUCCGGCACCUCGCUCUCCCCCAACCUGACCGACUACAUCCCGCCAUCCCCAACUGCACACAUCUGUCAUUCAUCUGAGAUGGAGGCGGCUGGCCAGCCACCGUCAUGGCGGCGGCACACAGCAGCGGGGAACGGAGAGAGAGGGACGUGAGAAGGAAGAAGAGCUGCAGCGGCGGUGACGGCAGCGCCGCCGUGAGCGGCGGGUGUCUACGGCAGUCGUAGUGGUGGUUCGUGUUGCAGGAUUGGUUUGGUUCGACUUCUAGUCUCGGGUUCGAGUUUCAGUCAACGUCAGACUCGGGACUCGGUUCAGACUCGGGACUCGGUUCAGUUGGUGCGACUCCGGGUCAGUUUCAAUUUAGUCUGUUUGUCGAUUCGUUGCAGGCUCGGUACAACGGUGGACUGCGGAAGUUGUUUCACGUAUCGUUCGGAUAACUAUUUCGUUUGCUCUCUUGGAUUUUUCACCAUCUUUAGUCGUGCGUUAUUUCAAGCAAUCGCAACGCAACCAAUGUUGAUUAUUGAAGUAUGGAUGAUUGAUGAAACAAGUUUAGGGUUGCUAGAUACACACCUAAAUUUAUCUGUCUUUUGUUGUUAUGUUAUUUGUUGAAACAAUGUUGUUAUUUCCUUUUGGAAUAUUGUAACAAAAUGUGAAAGCCAAAUAGAAGCCAGCUGGACAGCACUGAAGGCU